CCUCUCCAGGAUGAAGAGGUAAUUUCAUAUAUGUUGGCAGGUCUAGGAUCUGAAUUUGAUCCUCUGGUUACUUCGAUCUCUACUAGAAGUGAGCCAAUUACUUUAAAUGACCCAGUAUGCUCAUCUCGCUAAGCUUUGAAA